rnacentral:lncRNA from 1 species
GCCGGCACCAGCGCGCCAUCAGCAGUCCUCACAGGAAUCUCAGUUCCCUGUCCUCCCCUGUCCGUCACCUUCACCGGCUCUAACGCCUCCGCUGUGGUGUCGUGGAACUCUUCGCUAUAUGCAAAUGUGUACCACGUGUACCAGGUGACUGGCGACAGCCGGGUACAACUGUGCAACACGACUGGGCUCUCCUGUGCAGUUACCAACGUCAACAGCAACCUGAUCGUAGUUACUGCUGGAAACACAGCCGGAGAAAGUGCAGGAACGUCAGAUGUGCACGUGGUCUCAGGAGGAGUUCGCAGGAGGAGAGAUG